GACGAACCGUGCGAACGUUAUUCGGAAUCACUGGGCUUAAAGCGCGUGUAGGCGGGCCGCCGCGUCGGCUGCUGAAAUCCCCCGGCUCAACCGGGGAAGUGGCACCGAUACGGGCGGCCUGGAGGGGGGUAGGGGGGUCUGGAACUUCCGGUGGAGCGGUGAAAUGCGUUGAGAUCGGAAGGAACGCCCGUGGCGAAAGCGAGGCCCUGGACCCUUACUGACGCUGAGACGCGAAAGCCAGGGGAGCGAACGGG
rnacentral:rRNA from 1 species